ensembl:snoRNA SNORA72 Small nucleolar RNA SNORA72
CUGUUAAAACUCUUUCCUAAUCAGGGCAGGCUAAACGUCCGCCAUAUUAAGACCAUACAUGCAUCCCCAGGCCUAGUUCUUUCCCAAGGUCUGGUUUUAUAAAUGCUGGUGAUAAAC